rfam:Pteropus alecto contig108704, whole genome shotgun sequence.
GUCUACAGCCAUGCUACCCAGAACAAGCCUGAUCUCUUCUGAUCUCGGAAGCUAAGCAGGGUUGGGCCUGGUUAGUACUUGGAUGGGAGACCACCUAGGAAGACCAGGUGCUGUAGGUG